GAUGAACGCUGGCGGCGUGCUUAACACAUGCAAGUCGAACGAUGAAGCCCAGCUUGCUGGGUGGAUUAGUGGCGAACGGGUGAGUAACACGUGAGUAACCUGCCCUUGACUCUGGGAUAAGCCUGGGAAACUGGGGCUAAUACUGGAUAUGACUUCUCAUCGCAUGGUGGGGGGUGGAAAGAUUUAUUGGUCUUGGAUGGACUCGCGGCCUAUCAGCUUGUUGGUGAGGGAAUGGCUCACCAAGGCGACGACGGGUAGCCGGCCUGAGAGGGUGACCGGCCACACUGGGACUGAGACACGGCCCAGACUCCUACGGGAGGCAGCAGUGGGGAAUAUUGCACAAUGGGCGCAAGCCUGAUGCAGCGACGCCGCGUGAGGGAUGACGGCCUUCGGGUUGUAACCCUCUUUCAGUAGGGAAGAAGCGAGAGUGACGGUACCUGCAGAAGAAGCGCCGGCUAACUACGUG
rnacentral:rRNA from 1 species